UACAGAGGUCUCAAGCGUUGUUCGGAUUCAUUGGGCGUAAAGGGUGCGUAGGUGGCGCCGUAAGUCAGGUGUGAAAUUUCGGAGCUCAACUCCGAAACUGCAUUUGAUACUGCGGUGCUUGAGGACUGGAGAGGAGACUGGAAUUCACGGUGUAGCAGUGAAAUGCGUAGAUAUUCGCAAGAACACCAGUGGCGAAGGCGGCUCACUGGCCCGUAACUGACGCUGAGGCACGAAAGCGUGGGGAGCAAACAGG
rnacentral:rRNA from 1 species